GACGAACGCUGGCGGCAGGUCUAACACAUGCAAGUCGAACGAAGUCUUCGGACUUAGUGGCGGACGGGUGAGUAACACGUGGGAACGUGCCUUUAGGUUCGGAAUAACUCAGGGAAACUUGUGCUAAUACCGAAUGUGCCCUUCGGGGGAAAGAUUUAUCGCCUUUAGAGCGUCCCGCGUCUGAUUAGCUAGUUGGUGGGGUAAUGGCCCACCAAGGCUACGAUCAGUAGCUGGUCUGAGAGGAUGACCAGCCACAUUGGGACUGAGACACGGCCCAAACUCCUACGGGAGGCAGCAGUGGGGAAUCUUGCGCAAUGGGCGAAAGCCUGACGCAGCCAUGCCGCGUGGAUGAUGAAGGUCUUAGGAUUGUAAAAUCCUUUCACCGGUGAAGAUAAUGACUGUAGCCGGAGAAGAAGCCCCGGCUAACUUCGUGCCAGCCGCCGCUGUAACAC
rnacentral:rRNA from 1 species